rnacentral:rRNA from 1 species
CAGCAGCCGCGGGAAUACGAAGGGGGCUAGCGUUGUUCGGAUUUACUGGGCGUAAAGCGCACGUAGGCGGAUCGAUCAGUCAGGGGUGAAAUCCCAGAGCUCAACUCUGGAACUGCCUUUGAUACUGUCGAUCUGGAGUAUGGAAGAGGUGAGUGGAAUUCCGAGUGUAGAGGUGAAAUUCGUAGAUAUUCGGAGGAACACCAGUGGCGAAGGCGGCUCACUGGUCCAUUACUGACGCUGAGGUGCGAAAGCGUGGGGAGCAAACAGGAUUAGAUACCCCAGUAGUCCCUGUCUCUUAUAC